GGCCUAUUAGCUCAGUUGGUUAGAGCGUCGUGCUAAUAACGCGAAGGUCACAGGUUCGUUCCCUGUUUAGGCCA
rnacentral:tRNA from 1 species